ACAAGCUCGAGGCUUGGCCCACACAGCCUGCAGAACUAGGGAGCGCGGAAGACACCAUCUCACGGACACAGAAGGGGCCCUGGGCCCAGAGAAGACCUUCGCACACUGCAAGCCCUCUGGAGGUGGCCCUAGAAUGUUCUCAGACCCUGGGAAACAAAAUCUGAAAGCGAAGAUGAGCUGCUUGUGCCCCGAUCUGACCUGAGAUAGCAUAGGGAGUUUUAUGAUGUUCUUGGUACUUGCGAAUCUGAAAUAUCUUCCGAGGAGCUGUGAUGCACACGGAACACUCACAAGAGUAAUGAAAGCCUGAAGCAUCCAGGGCCUCCCUGGAGCAGCAGAGGGGAGCUCAGACGCCGCGAUGAGAUUCUGGGAAGUGAAAUGGGCUCAAGAUCUCGACCACUAGAGAGCUCUCCAAGCAUGCCCUACCAGGACCUUUGUCACUGGUGAACUGUUUCCUCCCCAAGAUUCUUUCCAGCUGAGCUAAGAGAUUUCUGGAGCCUCUCGCCAUGGUCAGAACAUCUCUUGAAUGACCAGGAAAUGGGGCUUCCUGUUUAAAUCUCUCGGGCAGAGACAAGGCAGAUGAGCCUGCCUAAGUCUUUAGAAAGAGCUGUAGGGAAGGCCAGAGAUGGCUCAUCAUGCCAAGAUGUCCACUGUGGCCGCACCCAGUGUGCCAGAGGUCUAUGGCAGCGAUAGGGGUUACCUGGGAAUCUAGGGUUGGUAUUCGGUGUGAGUCUUGGUGAAAGUGCCCAGGGGAAAAGUUCCCCUGAAGACAGUGAGUCUAACAGUGGCCAAGUGGCACCUUCCUGCUGCCUGGCACACCUGUAAAGGUGAGCCAGGGUCACAGACAGGAGCUGGAGGAUGUCAGUCACAAACAAAUCAAAAUAGUGAAACAGAAAACAAGGGGCUGAUGCUGCACAGUUAAAACAUAUAUAUGUUAUAGAUCUUGAUAGAACUGGAAAGAAAAAAAAAAAAAAAAAAAAAAAAAAAAAAAAAAAGGCAGGAUCAACACUCCAGUCCCAUGGAAGCCGAGUGGCUUUCGUGGUGUGUUAACAACGGCACAGUCCAGGCUAAAGAGGGUGGUUUCAUGUUGAAUAAGGGGUAUUUUUACUAAAAAAAAAAAAAAAAAAAAAAAAAAAAAA
rnacentral:lncRNA from 1 species